AUUGAACGCUGGCGGCAGGCCUAACACAUGCAAGUCGAACGGCAGCACAGAAGAGCUUGCUCUUUGGGUGGCGAGUGGCGGACCGGUGAGUAAUGUCUGGGAAACUGCCCGAUGGAGGGGGAUAACUACUGGAAACGGUAGCUAAUACCGCAUAACGUCGCGAGACCAAAGUGGGGGACCUUCGGGCCUCACACCAUCGGAUGUGCCAAGAUGGAUUAGCUAGUAGGUUGGGUAAUGGCUCACCGAGGCGACGAUCCCUAGCUGGGCUGAGGGGAUGGCCAGCCACACUGGAACUGAGACACGGUCCAGACUCCUACGGGAGGCAGCAGUGUGGAAUAUUGCACAAUGGGCGCAAGCCUGAUGCAGCCAUGCCGCGUGUAUGAAGAAGGCCUUCGGGUUGUAAAGUACUUUCAGCGGGGAGGAAGGCGGUGAGGUUAAUAACCUCGCCGAUUGACGUUACCCGCAGAAGAAGCACCGGCUAACUCCGUGCCAGCCGCCGCCGUAA
rnacentral:rRNA from 1 species